CCUACGGGAGGCUGCAGUGGGGAAUAUUGGACAAUGGGGGGAACCCUGAUCCAGCCAUGCCGCGUGUGUGAAGAAGGCCCUCGGGUUGUAAAGCACUUUCAGUGAGGAAGAACGCCUGGUGGUUAAUACCCAUCAGGAAAGACAUCACUCACAGAAGAAGCACCGGCUAACUCCGUGCCAGCAGCCGCGGUAAUACGGAGGGUGCGAGCGUUAUUCGGAAUUACUGGGCGUAAAGCGCGCGUAGGUGGCUUGAUAAGCCGGUUGUGAAAGCCCCGGGCUCAACCUGGGAACGGCAUCCGGAACUGUCAAGCUAGAGUGCAGGAGAGGAAGGUAGAAUUCCCGGUGUAGCGGUGAAAUGCGUAGAGAUCGGGAGGAAUACCAGUGGCGAAGGCGGCCUUCUGGACUGACACUGACACUGAGGUGCGAAAGCGUGGGUAGCAAACAGGAUUAGAUACCCGAGUAGUC
rnacentral:rRNA from 1 species